rnacentral:rRNA from 1 species
GACGAACGCUGGCGGCGUGCUUAACACAUGCAAGUCGAACGGAAAGGCCUGUCCUUCCUUGUGUUGGACGGGUACUCGAGUGGCGAACGGGUGAGUAACACGUGAGUGAUCUGCCCCCAACUUGGGUAUAAGCCUGGGAAACUGGGUCUAAUUCCCGAUAGGACUGCAGGGUGGUGCCUGUGGUGGAAAACGAUUUUCUAGUGGUUGGGGAUGAGCUCGCGGCCUAUCAGCUUGUUGGUGGGGUAAUGGCCUACCAAGGCGGCGACGGGUAGCCGGCCUGAGAGGGUGGACGGCCACAUUGGGACUGAGAUACGGCCCAGACUCCUACGGGAGGCAGCAGUGGGGAAUAUUGCACAAUGGGCGGAAGCCUGAUGCAGCGACGCCGCGUGGGGGAUGACGGCCUUCGGGUUGUAAACUCCUUUCGACCGCGAGGAAGCCGCCUGGUUGGAAGGGUGGUGACGGUAGUGGUAGAAGAGGCACCGGCUAACUACGUG